rnacentral:rRNA from 1 species
CACGUAGGGUGCGAGCGUUGUCCGGAAUUAUUGGGCGUAAAGAGCUCGUAGGCGGUGUGUCGCGUCGGCCGUGAAAACCUGCAGCUUAACUGUGGGCUUGCGGUCGAUACGGGCAUCACUGGAGUUCGGCAGGGGAGACUGGAAUUCCUGGUGUAGCGGUGAAAUGCGCAGAUAUCAGGAGGAACACCAGUGGCGAAGGCGGUGGUCUGGGCCGGAACUGACGCUGAGGAGCGAAAGCGUGGGUAGCAAACAGG